ensembl:lncRNA
CGCGUCUGUCCCGCGGAAUGCGAGGAGCGCGGGGGACGGGGGGCGCUUAAUCGUGGAAGGAAGCGAGGCGGGAGAGGCGCUGAGCCGCAGUCACCGCCAUCUCACCGGUGCCUGAGUGUUUCGAUACGUGUCAGUUCAGUGAGUGGGAAAACGCCGGUCUUGGUCAGCGUCUUCAUCAAUGACCUGGAAUAAGGGGUCUGUGACCACAGCCUUCCCAAGCACAGGCUGCUAAAGAGCUCUCACUUGGACGAGAGCCUCUUCACCGGCAAUCAAUGCCUGCUUCAGGUUGCAAAGAGCUCCCGGUGUUUGGGCACGUGCUCUGAGAAAUCUCUCUUUGGGACAACCGCAGAAGAGAAAUGGCAAAGGCUUCAGAAAUAACGACCAGGGACUGGCGCUGGCCCCGUGUGGUGCCUCCACAGGGAAAAUUAGUGGCAAGCCAGCAUCUCGGCCAGCACUCGCCAGCCUUCUCUUUACAUGCCUGUAC